UACGUAGGGGGCAAGCGUUGUCCGGAUUUAUUGGGCGUAAAGAGCGUGUAGGCGGCCAGGCAGGUCCGUUGUGAAAACUCGAGGCUCAACCUCGAGACGUCGAUGGAAACCGUCUGGCUAGAGUCCGGAAGAGGAGAGUGGAAUUCCUGGUGUAGCGGUGAAAUGCGCAGAUAUCAGGAAGAACACCUAUGGCGAAGGCAGCUCUCUGGGACGGUACUGACGCUGAGACGCGAAAGCGUGGGGGAGCGAACAGG
rnacentral:rRNA from 1 species